rnacentral:rRNA from 1 species
UACACUCCUGCGGGAGGCAGCAGUGGGGAAUUUUGGACAAUGGGCGAAAGCCUGAUCCAGCCAUGCCGCGUGCAGGAUGAAGGCCUUCGGGUUGUAAACUGCUUUUGUACGGAACGAAACGGCCUUUUCUAAUAAAGAGGGCUAAUGACGGUACCGUAAGAAUAAGCACCGGCUAACUACGUGCCAGCAGCCGCGGUAAUACGUAGGGUGCAAGCGUUAAUCGGAAUUACUGGGCGUAAAGCGUGCGCAGGCGGUUAUGUAAGACAGUUGUGAAAUCCCCGGGCUCAACCUGGGAACUGCAUCUGUGACUGCAUAGCUAGAGUACGGUAGAGGGGGAUGGAAUUCCGCGUGUAGCAGUGAAAUGCGUAGAUAUGCGGAGGAACACCGAUGGCGAAGGCAAUCCCCUGGACCUGUACUGACGCUCAUGCACGAAAGCGUGGGGAGCAAACAGGAUUAGAUACCCUGGUAGUCCCAUG